AUCUGCAAUAGCAGUGGAUGUUACCUCACAGACUGGUUUUUUUGAGGCUUCUUCUGAUCCUGGAUUCCUGGUGUUCCUCCAACUGAAGGUGGAUUCCUCUCUGUUCGCCUUGGUGCCUGGUUCUCUGGUCUAUCCUUCAACUAACAGCGCUGCAACGGUUCCUUUUGGAGUUUGAUAUGGACGCAAAGUAUUGAAGGGGUGGUUAGACAGUUAAAAUAUUUGAGUGCACUCAAGGGUAACAAUUUUUUUCCUUUUUUUUGAAAGAUAUUUCCUUCUAUUUUGUUUCAUGAUAUCUCAAAAUUUGUGGCUGAUUUGUCAAAAUAAAUGGUAGUAAUGUAAA